GAGAGGAGAGUGCCCUGUGAUGAGGAAGCAGAGACUGGAGUGAUGCAGCUAUAAGCCAAGGAACGCCCAGCAUUGCCAGCAACACCAGAAGCCCAGAGAAGUGCCUGCACCAGUGUUCUCUAGACCGUUCGGAGAGACCGUGGCUCUGUCGACAGCUGGCACCUUGAUUUUGGACUUCUAGACUCCAGAAUUAUACAAGAAUAAAUUUCUACUAUUGUAAGCCACCUAGUUCAUGGUAAUUUUUUAGGGAAGCCCUAAGAAUCUAAUACAGGCCCUCAGCAGAAAACAGACGGCCUACUCACAUGGGUAAAUGAGAAGUCUCUAUAGGAGCCGGCAGCAAGAGUGUGGGCAAGGCUGGUGGAAUCAGCACUCGAUGAUUAAGCACCUGGAUCUGGUAAAGACCUUCCCAGUGGAGACCUAAGGGGCAAAGGGCGGAAGCCGUUCCUGAAACCCAGGGAGGGCGGCUCAGCUGUGGUCGUUGAUGGAGGGAUGCAGCUAACCCUAGGCAGCCUGGAAGGAGCAAUACCCUGACCUUUCUCUCUCCUCCUGCCUUCCAUUGGCUGAACCCAACCAGAAGCCAGAACAAGGGAGCUGUUGGUGCAGUUCAGGUGCACCAGCCUCCUGGGGCAGAGAGCAGAGUGGAGAUGGGUGGAGAAUGGACCUGGAAGGGCCUGUGGAAAAUAUUGCUGGAAAAUAAAAAGGGAAUGUGGUUUGCACUAGAACCUUCGCAGAGAACCCAUAGCCACAGGCUGGAUGCUGGAGGCUUUUUGUCAAAGAAACCUUAUCUUGCGAGUCAGGAUCAGAGAUAAAAAGAGAAAGCCAAAUAUGCACCCGUAACCAGUCACACAGGACACCGCACUCCUGGUUAGCCCUCCUCCAGCUUCCUCAGGCCAACACCCUCCAGUCAUGGCACCCCUGGAGCCUUCCCCUUCUCUACCGUGAAGCUCCCCCACUCCUCCGCCUGCCUUUGAGACUCUGCCAAACGCAAGCGGUGGUGGCUGCCUCCCUCGCUACAGCAAGCUCUGAAUAAACAGCCACUGCUUUUCUCAUUGGGUUGGUCUUCAUUUAUUUCCACAAGGGUAAGAGCAGCUUCUCUUGUCUCAGGAGAGAGAAGGCUCCUUCCAGGGUCGGGGAUGGGUGGAGUGCAUGUCGGGGUAAUGUCCUCCCCAUCCUGUCAAGGUAAAUCCAUAGUGACUUGUCCAAGGGACCGGGAUGCUUUUCAGGACUGGGCACAAAGUUCGUGGUCACACAGGCAGAGACUUUGAAAGAUGUCAUGCCACGUGCCAGCUUGUGGCAUGAAAGCCCUCUUCCUUCCAGAACCUUGCUCUACCAACUGCCCUGCCACCUCAUCCCAGCCUGCUCUCCUCAAGUGGGAGAUGAUGAGACAGGAGUCUAAGGUGGUUUUCACAUGUUCCGGAAGUGCCUCCCCAAUGUGGGCGCUCUAGUUACUGAGGCAUCAGACCUGUGGGCAUCAUUCUGGAAUUUCAUGGAAAACGUCUG
rnacentral:lncRNA from 1 species